AGAUUGAACGCUGGCGGCGUGCCUAACACAUGCAAGUCGAGCGGUAACAGGUGUAGCAAUACAUGCUGACGAGCGGCGAACGGGUGAGUAAUGCUUUGGAAUCUUCCCAGUAGUGGGGAAUAACCAGUCGAAAGAUUGGCUAAUACCGCAUACGUCUGUAAAGGGAAAGCGGGGGCUCGUAAGACCUCGCGCUAUUGGAUGAGCCAAAGUCGGAUUAGCUAGUUGGUGGGGUAAUGGCCUACCAAGGCGACAAUCCGUAGCUGGUCUGAGAGGACGACCAGCCACACCGGAACUGAGACACGGUCCGGACUCCUACGGGAGGCAGCAGUGGGGAAUAUUGGACAAUGGGGGAAACCCUGAUCCAGCGACGCCGCGUAUGUGAAGAAGGCCUGCGGGUUGUAAAGCACUUUUAGUGGGGACAAAAGCUACGGACUAAUAUUCUGUGGUCUUGAUUUAACCCAAAGAAAAGCACCGGCUAACUCUGUGCCAGCAGCCGC
rnacentral:rRNA from 1 species